UUGCAUGUCAAGAAAGUCGCAGUUUGUUGUAAAACUGUUGAAGUAUGCAUACAUAUACAAAUACAUAAUUAGAAAGACUACACACCCAAAAAUCGUGCAAGUGGCGUCAUGCCUUUCGAUCUCCACUAACUACCCAGAGCCGCUGAAGCUACGAUGCCUGAGUGUUUCGGACAUGGAUGUCUAAAGUAUCAGAUUUAGUCACACGAGAAACGGUUUUGCUCGUUCUUUCGCUUCCCGGCUGAUAAAGGGACCAGGAGACGCUGGAUAAAACACAUCAGAGUUGACAGAUGGACAGACUUGUUUGCAGCAGCAUAAGAAAGAAAAAGGUAAAUCUUAUAAAAACAUACAGAUCAAGAAUAUUGUUUAAUUAUCAAAAGUGUAACCCAUGCACAAUUCUCUGAAGAAAGAAUGACUGAUAAACUGUUAAGACAGUUAUACAAACCAUUUCCCCUGUUUUAAUCAGUUUUAUGGUACAAUUCAUUCAUUUGUGCAGGUGUUCUGUAAAGCUGGUGAAAGACCUAAUCUGCGUUUCACUAGCUGUAUUUCCAUUUAAGCAGAAGGGACAAGGACAAUUAUACUUAAUUUCAGCACAAGUACAGCAGCCACGUACUUGAUAACC